rnacentral:rRNA from 1 species
UACGUAGGUGGCGAGCGUUGUCCGGAUUUAUUGGGCGUAAAGCAUGCGUAGGCGGAUACUUAAGUGGGAUGUGAAAUCCCGGGGCUCAACCCCGGUGCUGCAUUCCAAACUGGGUAUCUAGAGUACAGGAGAGGAAAGCGGAAUUCCUAGUGUAGCGGUGAAAUGCGUAGAGAUUAGGAAGAACACCAGUGGCGAAGGCGGCUUUCUGGACUGUAACUGACGCUGAGGCAUGAAAGCGUGGGUAGCAAACAGG